rnacentral:lncRNA from 1 species
UUACAGUGUAAAUAUAAUUACUGUGACAUAGAUUUGCUUUGGUUCACUGAGCUGGCAAUGAGCAAGCUUUACAGCAUUGUAUCUUUUUGUUCUUGCUUAAAUUGCCUUUCUAGUAGGUGGUUGGAGCUAGAACCCAGACCACAGCUGCAGUCCCAAUGUGCUGUUGUAACAGUAUUAGCAUAUAAAGUAGAUAUCAUUGCAGAGUGCAGGGCUGAUUCCUACCGGCCCUAUGCGCUGUGAGUGUAGCGGGAAAGGUCCAUUUCAGUGUGCUUGGCACAGCAGGAACCUGCUGACUUGGCAGUACCUGCAGGAGACUCCGUGCUUUUCAGUGGUGGCUGCUCUACACUCCUGGAUUUUGCCGCCUUGCCAGCAGCACUGGGACCAGAACAAGCAGAGAAGUGUUUUCCAUGGAAAUCUUCUUUCCUAGAUUGAAUGACCCUUAUGCACUGUGUCUUUCCUGGUUGCACAGACAGGUCUGUACCAACAAGUGUUUCUCCUGAAGGAACCUAGAGCAUCUGGACAGGUCUGAGUGGGUCUGGUGUGGAAACGCAGUCCUGGGGAGCUCAGAUACAUGACAGUGCUUAUACAAGUAGUUAACCUAAGAAUAUUGACUACGCCUAUGCAUGUGUUUGCCCUAAUAGCACUGGUCUGAAUCCGAUAUACUUAUUGCCUCCAGAGGAGGCUGGCGGCCAUUUUGUCAGCCCAGAGCUGCUGCUGCAGCUAUGCAGCAGCUUCUUCACUGCUGGUUUCUCUCCAUGUAAACCUUCCUCCCUUACCACAUGUGCCCCCAGGCCCCUGUUUGCCACUCUUUGUCUUUUAGGGGGAAAAAGCCAAGUGUGGGAGGCUGGAUGUUGUUCCCUCUGCUGCCUGAGGGACCCUCUUGUGGCUUCCGGAAGGUUCCACAGAGCUUCCUGUCAGUGCCGUGGGACAGCCAGCGCCUCGCUUAUGACCUGUGGACGAGGGUGCUUCUGUGGCUGUCCAAAAAAAAAGGGAUAAAAAAAUGCUGGAAACAGCACAGCUGGAGAGCACGUAAUACUGCUGAAGAGAUGCAAAGAGAAGAUGCAGUUCUAUUAAGAGAUUUCAUGAGUACGCACAGCUAUGCAGGACAAAAGGACAACUUCUUCAUGAAAAGAAAUACUGUUGCUGGCUCAGACUUGGUGAGAGAAAGAGAUACGGAUACAUUGUAUAUCAGUGGAAGAAGACAUGAGUUCUUCUCCCUGGAGCACCUAGCGGAUGAGGACAAGAGGGAUCUCAGCCCCACAGCUUCAUUUUGGACCUGUUAACUGUAACUACUGAUGUCGUUUACAAGGAUAAACCCUUAAAGCCAGGCCAAGGUAGACAAAGAAAGAACACUGAAGUAAUUCCCUUUGGACAGCAGAGAUUGGUGUUCAAGUUAUUGAAAAUCUGUGUAACUCAUUUUCUCUUUUGUCAUACUUAAAAAAUCCAUGAAGUUUGGCUGAGUGCAAACAAUAAGCUUUUAUUGUUGCUGCCCUUCUUCAUAAAUGUGUAAUCUUCUGGGACCAUCAGAAAAGCUUUGGUACAACAAAUUAAAAGUCUCUAAACUUUCCCAUGUCUCCUUGGACACUUUGUAGACCUGCAAAUAUCAAGCAGUAAUCAAUAUAAUGCCGCUCUAAUACUUUCAGACAAAGGGGCAGCUCCUGAGCCAGGAGCAGGGAGUAGCAGUCUCCUGGCAGGGCAGGAGCGCUGCUGGGAAGCAUGGAGGAGCAGCAGCCCUUGGCAGGUCCAGCUGGGUACGGCCAGGCGUGCGGGUUAGCAGGGCUUGCAGAUGGGCCUUCUGUCCCACCACCACCUCCCAUACUUAGCACUGUGCCCAAAUCCUCGCUGUCUGGCAGGUCACACUGUGUUUUGUGAUCUCUUGUUUCUUUCGCGUGUGUACACAUUUCCUUAACAAGCCAAUUAUAUUAUAGCCAACAGGGUGACUUGGAAAUUCUCUCUCUUCAUUGUUUUAGCUUAGUAAGCUAGUUUAACACCACUAUCUUAGUACUGC